CACUUAGUCAGACUUCCAAAAUCCCCAUAGUCUAUAACAGUGCUCACCCCGGGAAAGUCCAAAGUCUCUUCUAAGACUCAUGCAAUCUCUUAACUGUAAUCCCCUAUAAAAUCAAAAUCAAAAGGCAGAUCAGAUGCUUCCAACAUCUCCUUUAAUACCCUGUUGGCUGUGGAUAUGUCAUAUGUAGCCUUUAUUACGUUGAAGUAUGUCCCUUCUGUUCCAAGUUUCUCCAGGACUUUUAUCAUAAAGAGAUGUUGGGGUUUGUAAAAAGCCUUUUCUACAUCUGUUGAAAUACCCAUGUGAUUUCUGCCCUUGAGCCCACUGUGUGAGCUGUUGCAAUUUUGAUUUACCA
rnacentral:lncRNA from 1 species